rnacentral:snRNA from 1 species
GUGCUCAUUUUGGGAGCAUAUAUACUAAAACUGAAUGAUACACAGAUUAGCAUGGCCCCCAUGCAAGGGUGACAUGCAAAUUGUGAAUAGUUCCAUAUAUUU